rnacentral:rRNA from 1 species
AUGUCGAUCAUGCAGUACUGCACGAAGCUGAAGACCUAUGCCGAUCAACUACGCGACCUUGGGCAGCCCGUGCAGGAGCCCCAGGAGGUCUUUCAUCUCCUCCGUGGGCUCGGCCGCCAGUACCAUGGCGCCAUCUCGCACAUCACCGCGCGCACGCCCCUGCCCUCCUUCCUGCAAGUCCACUCUUUCCUUCUCCUGGAAGAGCAUCGCACCGAGCAGUCUACGCGUCAGCAGGGUGUGCAUGCGCUCGUCACUGGGUGCGGCUCCACUCCGACAGCUCCUUCGCCGCCACCGCCUGCUGACCCCGCUGUUGGGCAUGGGCGUGGUCGCCAGCGUCGCCGCGGACGCGGCAACGAUGUCGGCUCCAGCUCUGCUUCGCCACCGGCAACCCGAGGGGGGGGGGUGUGCGCCGCCGACACCAGCACCAGGCUCCAACUCCUGGACUAG